UGGGGAAUUUUGGACAAUGGGCGAAAGCCUGAUCCAGCAAUGCCGCGUGUGUGAAGAAGGCCUUCGGGUUGUAAAGCACUUUUGUCCGGAAAGAAAAUCCUUGGCUCUAAUACAGUCGGGGGAUGACGGUACCGGAAGAAUAAGCACCGGCUAACUACGUGCCAGCAGCCGCGGUAAUACGUAGGGUGCAAGCGUUAAUCGGAAUUACUGGGCGUAAAGCGUGCGCAGGCGGUUUGCUAAGACCGAUGUGAAAUCCCCGGGCUCAACCUGGGAACUGCAUUGGUGACUGGCAGGCUAGAGUAUGGCAGAGGGGGGUAGAAUUCCACGUGUAGCAGUGAAAUGCGUAGAGAUGUGGAGGAAUACCGAUGGCGAAGGCAGCCCCCUGGGCCAAUACUGACGCUCAUGCACGAAAAGCGUGGGGGAGCAAACAGGAUUAGAUACCCUGGUAGUCCACGCCCUAAAACGAUGUCAACUAGUUGUUGGGGAUUCAUUUCCUUAGUAACGUAGCUAACGCGUGAAGUUGACCGCCUGGGGAGUACGGUCGCAAGAUUAAAACUCAAAUGAAUUGACGGGGUCAUAGCUGUUUCCU
rnacentral:rRNA from 1 species